rnacentral:rRNA from 1 species
AGCAGCCGCGGUAAUACGAAGGGUGCAAGCGUUACUCGGAGUUACUGGGCGUAAAGCGCAUGCAGGCGGCUCAUUACGCAUGGCGUGAAAGCCCCCGGCUUAACCGGGGAGGGUCGUCGUGAACGGGUGAGCUUGAGGAUAUCAGGGGCUGGUGGAAUUCCCGGUGUAGUGGUGAAAUGCGUAGAUAUCGGGAGGAACACCUGUGGCGAAGGCGGCCAGCUGGGAUAUACCUGACGCUGAGAUGCGAAGGCGUGGGGAGCGA